rnacentral:rRNA from 1 species
AGUGAACGCUGGCGGUAGGCCUAACACAUGCAAGUCGAACGGCAGCACAGUAAGAGCUUGCUCUUACGGGUGGCGAGUGGCGGACGGGUGAGGAAUACAUCGGAAUCUACUUUUUCGUGGGGGAUAACGUAGGGAAACUUACGCUAAUACCGCAUACGACCUACGGGUGAAAGCAGGGGAUCUUCGGACCUUGCGCGAUUGAAUGAGCCGAUGUCGGAUUAGCUAGUUGGCGGGGUAAAGGCCCACCAAGGCGACGAUCCGUAGCUGGUCUGAGAGGAUGAUCAGCCACACUGGAACUGAGACGCGGUCCAGACUCCUAAGGGAGGCAGCAGUGGGGAAUAUUGGACAAUGGGCGCAAGCCUGAUCCAGCCAUACCGCGUGGGUGAAGAAGGCCUUCGGGUUGUAAAGCCCUUUUGUUGGGAAAGAAAAGCAGCAGGUUAAUACCCCGCUGUUCUGACGGUACCCAAAGAAUAAGCACCGGCUAACUUCGUG